rnacentral:rRNA from 1 species
GAACGAACGCUGGCGGCAGGCUUAACACAUGCAAGUCGAACGCGUGCAGCAAUGCACGAGUGGCGCACGGGUGAGUAACGAGUGGAUAUCUGCCUUUUGGUUCGGAAUAACCCCGGGAAACUGGGGCUAAUACCGGAUGGUUCCUACGGGAUAAAGAUUUAUCGCCAAAAGAUGAGUCCGCGUCCGAUUAGCUAGUUGGUGAGGUAAUGGCUCACCAAGGCGACGAUCGGUAGCUGGUCUGAGAGGACGAUCAGCCACACUGGGACUGAGACACGGCCCAGACUCCUACGGGAGGCAGCAGUGGGGAAUAUUGGACAAUGGGGGCAACCCUGAUCCAGCCAUGCCGCGUGAGUGAUGAAGGCCUUCGGGUUGUAAAGCUCUUUUGGCGGGGACGAUGAUGACGGUACCCGCAGAAUAAGCCCCGGCUAACUUCGUG